GGGGAAUUUUGGACAAUGGGGGCAACCCUGAUCCAGCCAUGCCGCGUGAGUGAAGAAGGCCUUCGGGUUGUAAAGCUCUUUCAGCCGGGAAGAAAGCGCACUCUCUAACAUAGGGUGUGGAUGACGGUACCGGAAGAAGAAGCACCGGCUAACUACGUGCCAGCAGCCGCGGUAAUACGUAGGGUGCGAGCGUUAAUCGGAAUUACUGGGCGUAAAGGGUGCGCAGGCGGUUUUGUAAGACAGAUGUGAAAUCCCCGGGCUUAACCUGGGAACUGCGUUUGUGACUGCAAGGCUAGAGUACGGCAGAGGGGGGUGGAAUUCCGCGUGUAGCAGUGAAAUGCGUAGAUAUGCGGAGGAACACCGAUGGCGAAGGCAACCCCCUGGGCCUGUACUGACGCUCAUGCACGAAAGCGUGGGGAGCAAAC
rnacentral:rRNA from 1 species